GCUUGUCUCAAAGAUUAAGCCAUGCAUGUUCAAGUAUAGCAAGUGUACAGUGAAACUGCGAAUGGCUCAUUAAAUCAGUUAUAAUUUAUUUGAUAGUGAAAUUGUACAUGGAUAACCGUGGCAAUUCUAGGGCUAAUACAUGCGUCAAUGGUCGGUCGACCAGUAUUUAUUAGAUACAAAACCAAUACGGAGCAAUCCGUUUCUUGGUGAUUCAUAAUAACUUUGCGGAUCGCAUGGCCUUGUGCCGGCGAUGAAUCAUUCAAAUUUCUGCCCUAUCAACUUUCGAUGGUAAGGUAUUGGCCUACCAUGGUUACCACGGGUAACGGGGAAUUAGGGUUCGGUUCCGGAGAGGGGGCCUGAGAAAUGGCCACCACAUCCAAGGAAGGCAGCAGG
rnacentral:rRNA from 1 species